rnacentral:misc_RNA from 1 species
GAUGAAGAACGCAGUGAAACGCGAUAUGUAAUGUGAAUUGCAGAAUUCAGUGAAUCAUCGAAUCUUUGAACGCACAUGGCGCCUUCCAGUAUCCUGGGAGGCAUGCCUGUCCGAGCGUCGUUUCAACCCUCGAGCCCCCGUGGCCCGGCGUUGGGGAUCUGCCCAGGCAGUCCCCGAAAACCAGUGGCGGACCCGUUACACGCCCUUCCCUUGCGUAGUAGCAUUCGCCUCGCAUCGGGAGCCGGCGGGCUUCCAGCCUCUAAACCCCCAUCAAGUCCGCCCCGGCGGCACCAAGGUUGACCUCGGAUCAGGUAGGAAUACCCGCUGAACUUAAGCAUAUCAAUAAGCGGAGGA